AUACUUACCUGGCAGGGGCGAUACCAUGAUCACGAAGGUGCUUCACCCAGUUUCUAAUUUCUGGUAAUGGGGGACUGCGUUUGCCUGCGUCUCCCCU
ensembl:snRNA U1 U1 spliceosomal RNA